GGGACAUGUGGCCUGUGGUGGCAGCAAAGCCAAGAGGAAAGCAGAGGCUGCCCUGCAGCUGGCAGAUCUGCAGAGCCUGCGCGUGGCCCUCGCCGUGCUGGGGAAAGGAUGUUUUGGCAUCAGCCUGACCUGCCUGACCAUAUACAGGGUGGAGCUCUUCCCCACGCCUCUGCGGAUGACUGCCGAAGGCUUCCUGCAGUCGGUCGGCCGCCUGGGGGCGAUGGUGGGCCCCCUGAUCCGGAUGGCCCGCCAGGCCCUGCCUUUGCUGCCUCCACUGACCUACAGUAUCAUCCCUGUGGCCUCCAGUCUGCUUCUCCUGCUUUUCCUCCCGGACACCCAGGGACUUCCACUGCCGGACACCAUCUGGGACCUGCAGGGCAGGAGAUCUGCUGUGCCUGGGGGCCACCGGCAAGAGGCGGUCAUUGUGGAAAGCACCUGGCUCUAGGAGUUUUGCCUGCUCUGAGUUCCUUUGACCAAAACACUGGAUGAAGAAGUCACCUCUUCUCCAAUCUGAGGGUUCCAGACAAUCGGGCAGCCCCGGGGCUGGGGGCAGGGUGGGGCAGGCAACCAAGCUGUCUCUUCAAGGUGGUGAGGGGGCGCCUGCUGAUCACCCCUGUUCUCCUGUCUCUGGCUACCCUCUCCAACCUGCCUCAGCCCUAAUAGGAGCCUGUUGUCAGGUGGCCACGGCUGCCCUGGUUGCCCUGGAUUAGUUUCACCAACAACACGGGUCCUCGCCCUGCCUGCUGGCACUCAGCCACCCCAGGUGAAGCAGGAGUUCCAGUCUCACUGCCCCGCUCACAGAGCUCCCACUGUAAACAGAAAAUGUUCCCCAAGCCUCGUCCCAGGGUGACUAUCCGAGCUCACUGAUCUUGCAACAGGCUGCAGUUCAGCACGUGGAGCUGUUAGCAGAGUGACCUGGUACGGGUGUCCAGGUUGUGCCUGCCCCAAGGCACCCAGCUAGGGAGGUGUGUGGCGUCUGGCAUCCAGCCCAGUCUCCCUGGCCCAGCCACCUGCCAUACAGGGGCUUUCUUAUCCUCUGUAAGAAAGGAGCUGUGUUAGUUACCAGUGCAUGAGAACCUUCCUGACCUGGGCUCCAAGGAUGCCACACACAUGGCCCGGCCUGGACAGAUGACAUUGGCAGUGGUUGGUCACAUAUACUCGUGGUUCAAAGAGGAUAACACUGUGUAGGGACAUAUGGGGCUGCCCUGGGAGCAGAGACCCCCCCGGGGGUGGGCGAUGCCUGGCUCUUGCAGGCUGGUGUGUGUGGCAGGAAGUGGAAGCCCGGGCUGGGGAUUUAGCUCAGUGGCAUAAGCGCCUGCCUUGCAAGCAGGCAGUCGUGAGUUCGAUCCCCGGUACCGAUAAAAAGGACAAAGACAAAAAAAAAAAAAAAAUGGAAGUGGAAGCCCGCUAGGGUAAGGGUGGGAGGAGUGGCCUUUCAUUCUCUGCUUUCCGAAGGAAACUUUCUCACCUCCAGUGCUACCAGGUUAACUCCCCUCUGCAUAGUUUCCAGGUACAUCUAUUCCCCCUUUGCUAUGGCUGUCACCGGAAGUGUCCAGACUGAUUCCUGAUACCUGUAUUGUCCUCCACAACAGCAACCAUGUUUAUACAGAAACAUAAUUCAAGCCAAACCCCCUCUUUGUUUAAAACCUUCCAGAGCUCAUAAUAAAAUCGCUCUUCUCCCCAGCAAAAGUCUGGGUCCAGCGCCUGUGGGUCCCCAGCUUUCUUUGACAUGUAAUAAAUUUUAAAGGAUUCAAAUCAUAUCAAUAAUGUUCUUGGGCAGUCAUGGAAUUAAACUAGAAAUCAGAAACAAACAAAAAAAUCCAGAAAAC
rnacentral:lncRNA from 1 species